GGCCUGAUAGUCCUUCUCUGGUAGCUACAAGCAUUGCCAUAGGAUCUAUGAUUGGGCCUAGAUUUAGUUUCACAUAUUUAUAGGAACCUGUGACCACACAUCAAUUGGGACACAGAGCCCAUUAUUGUGAUUAAAUUC